CAGUCGCCGCGGUAAUACGUAGGGUGCGAGCGUUAAUCGGAAUUACUGGGCGUAAAGCGUGCGCAGGCGGUUUGUUAAGUCUGUUGUGAAAUCCCCGGGCUCAACCUGGGAAUGGCAAUGGAUACUGGCAAGCUAGAGUGUGUCAGAGGAUGGUGGAAUUCCCGGUGUAGCGGUGAAAUGCGUAGAGAUCGGGAGGAACAUCAGUGGCGAAGGCGGCCAUCUGGGACAACACUGACGCUGAGGCACGAAAGCGUGGGGAGCAAACAGGAUUAGAGACCCCCGUAGUCCCUGUCUCUUAUAC
rnacentral:rRNA from 1 species